GUCAAGAGUAACACUGCUGAGAAGCCCUAGAAGGAAGGACCAGUAGGAAACUGGGAAGGACUUGGAAACUAAAGGAAGGAAAGAAAUACAGGAAGAAAAGUCUAAGGUGAGAAGCUGACUUUAAUAUGCUGUAUGCUCUCGUGCUCCCUACAAGGCCAGGGUCCUGCUCUCUUCUGUUGUCAGGGUGAAGGCAGGACACUGUGUCAUACACUCACUGCAGCAGGAUGCAAGUGCUGGGGUGGAAACCAGGACCUUGUGCUUGCUGGCGAGUGCUCUACUAUGACGGCAAAACCAGACCUGGUUGUGAAAUGAAAUUACAAAAAUGUUAUGGGAAGAAUCCAGUGCCUGGGAAAGGGGUCAGUUCCCUCCCCUCUCUUAGUCUUUCUCCAGGAAAUCUAAUUAACCAUGGGCCCAACCUUUUGCAUUGUCAAUAACUGCCCUAAGAGUCUGACUACUCCCCCCUGAAAUGUAAUAGACGUCUGUGGAAAGAGCUGUUCCUUCCUAUCUGUUCUGUGCACAUGCUUUAUGUUAGAGACCCUGCACAGACCUUCAGCUGCAUGGAUUAGGAAUUUUUUUUAAAAAAAGAGGAAAAAGCCCCAAUGAUAGGAUGAGUGUAAGAUGACGUCAAAUAACCUAUAAAUAUUGUGAGAAACUGUGGAUCAGGGCUCAGAAUUUUGGAGU